CGUCCAGAGGGCUAUACGGACAAACAUUACUCUUUUUUAAUUUUUUUUUUAUACAAGAUAGGAGACAGCUCAAGGGCACACAAAAAAAGAAAACAAUAAUAUAAAAAAAAGCCUGCUACUCACUGCUCCUAAAAAGAAUCCAAAGAGAGGUAUAGGCAAAGGAGAGGAGGAAAGAUUGAUUAGGAGGAAAUAGAGGAGAGACAGGGAAAGAAAUAGGAAACAAUACACGUUAGACGGAAUAGACAGAGCUUAGCGGAUAAAAGGAGAGAGAGGGAAGGUGGAGUUAGUUCAGUCGUCCCUCAAAUAGUACGGUUUUCAAUAGUGCGGUUCCGGUUUUAUGCGGAUUGUUGUAGAUCUUUUUAGGACUUUCAAAUUUCCUGCCCGUCGGGAAAUUCAAAAAUACUAAAAAAAUCUAUAAAAAUCCACAUUCAACCGAAACCGUACUAUUUAAGGGAGGACUCUAUAUAAAAGGAAGAAGAAGAACACAUAACAAGAUAAGAGAACAGCAUAAUCAACCGUUCAUUCAACACGCCCCAUAACAGAGGCUAUUUUGUUAUUUAUUUAUUUAUUUUUAUUUAUUUAUUUAUUUUUUUUUUUUACGUCUACGCCUAUUGCCCCGGUACGCUUGCUUAAGGGGCCUGGAUGGUAGUCGGCCCCAGCCCAUCAUGGCACAGGCAAGUGUUUAUAGUGGCGCCAUCAGCUCCCUUCACAUACUACCUAAUAUAAAUCGCUAAGUCAGAUUGGCUCCACUUUAGAGAAUGCAAGAGUCGUGUCCGCAAUCAAAUUUUUUUACGGUGAGGAUAAUCUCGGGACUGUUAAUGCCUUCCCGUGCCACCAGAGGGCUAGGCUACGGCUGCCCACCAUUGCCUUUAUCUUACUAACUAAUAUUGGGCAGUGUAAGAGUUCAUUCCCUCGGCAACGCUUUAAAUAACGCAUAAAGAAUCGUGUUCAUGGUCAGAUAUUUUCCAGUAAGUGUUAUUUCAAGCUUCAUUUCCCUCGACAUCACUUAAAAUAACGUACAGACAUUUUCCAGUAAGUGUUAUUUCAAGCUUCAUUUCCCUGGACAUCACUUAAAAUAACGUACAGAUAUUUUCCAGUAAGGGUUAUUUCAAGCUUCAUUUCCCUCGACAUCACUUUAAAUAACGUCAAAAGAAGCGUUCAUGGUCAGAUAAUUUCCAGUAAGCGUUAUUUCAAGCUUCAUUUCCCUCGACAUCACUUUAAAUAACGUCAAAAGAAGCGUUCAUGGUCAGAUAAUUUCCAGUAAGGGUUAUUUCAAGCUUCAUUUCCCUCGACAUCACUUUAAAUAACGUAAAAAGAAGCGUUCAUGGUCAGGUAUUUUCCAGUAAGUGUUAUUUCAAGCUUCAUUUCCCUCGACAUCACUUAAAAUAACGUAAAAAGAAUCACGUUCAUGAUCAGAUAUUUUCCAGUAAGUGUUAUUUCAAGCUUCAUUUCCCUCGACAUCACUUUAAAUAACGUAAAAAGAAGCGUUCAUGGUCAGAUAUUUUCCAGUAAGUGUUAUUUCAAGCUUCAUUUCCCUCGACAACGCUUUAAAUAACGUAAAAAGAAGCGUUCAUGGUCAGAUAUUUUCCAGUAAGUGUUAUUUCAAGCUUCAUUUCCCUCGACAUCACUUUAAAUAACGUAAAAAGAAUCAUGUUCAUGGUCAGAUAUUUUCCAGUAAGCGUUAUUUCAAGCUUCAUUUCCCUCGACAUCACUUAAAAUAAUGCAUAAAGAAUCGUGUUCAUGGUCAGAUAUUUUCCAGUAAGCGUUAUUUCAAGCUUCAUUUCGCUCAACAUCACUUUAAAUAACGUAAAAAGAAGCGUUCAUGGUCAGAUAUUUUCCAGUAAGCGUUAUUUCAAGCUUCAUUUCGCUCAACAUCACUUUAAAUAGCGUAAAAAAAAUCACGUUCAUAAUCAGACAUUUUCCAGCAAGGGUUAUUUCAAGCUUCAUUUCCCUCGACAUCACAUUAAAUAACAUCAAAAAAAUCGCGUUCAUGAUCAUAUAAUUUCCAGCAAGGGUUAUUUCAGGGGUAUAAUUGCUUUCAUGUGCCACCAGAGGGAUAUAGGAUGACUAACAGGCCUCUUAACACACUAACUAAUUUAACCUUCAUUUCCCUCGGCUUCGCUUAAAAUAACGUAAAAAGAAUCGCGUUCGUAAUCAGACAUUUUCCAGUGAGGGUUAUUUCUCGACUGUUAAUGUCUGCCCGUGCCACCAGAGGGCUAGGUUAGGGCUGCCCACAAGUGCCCUAAAUAUAGCACACAGGGAAAUGGCACUGCACGUUGAAUAAAAGAUGUUUCGGUCCAUUCCCGAGUUGGUGUUUACGUUAUAUAAAUUCACUUAGGCCCCCUUUGCACUGUACCACGACAACCCAGCGAUUUUUCAGCCCCCUUCACACUGUUCCGAAUCAGCAUCUGGCGAUUGUUUCUAGACCUCUUUCCGAACAUGUGCGACCUUUUCACAUCAACAGUUCACACCCAAGACCGGAGACGCUGGGUUGUCAUGGCCCAGAGUCGGCGCUGUGUGAACGGGGCUUAACCUGGUAGAAGCGAUGGGCCAAAUUUGUGGCUUUACCGUGUAGCAGUGACGGGUCAAAUUUGUGGCUUUACCGUGUACCAGCGAUGGGCCAAAUUUGUGGCUUUACCGUGUAGCAGUGACGGGCCAAAUUUGUGGCUUUACCGU